rnacentral:lncRNA from 1 species
GUCACAAGGUGAAGAGAAAAAAUAAAUGAGUGUAAACAUCCAGAACUGUCGGUACUGUUCCAUGGAAUGCCUGUUUGAAAUAUUAUUCAGAAGAGAAGGUGACUAGGAGCGAUUCAGGCUAGAGGGGACCUGAGCCCUAGGACCAUGCCUCAGGACUACCUGGCUUGAUGACUCCUUGCUGUCCCCAGUUCACCUGGCCGUGUUGCUGCUCCAGUUCCAACUGUUCUGCCUGCAGCUAUGGAACCCUGACCUACCUGUUGUUCCAAACCUGCUGGAACCCUGACCUAUUCACCGGACGUGCUACCUGUCCCAGACCUGCUGUUUUCAACUCUCUAGAGACAGCAGGAGCGGUAGAGAUACUCUCAAAGAUCGGCUAUGAAAAAGCCAACUGACACUUACUCUUGUGUUACUGACUUGUUGCACCCACGACAACUACUAUGAUUAUUAUUAUUUGACAAUGCUGGUCAUUUAUGAACAUUUGAACAUCAAGGCCAUGUGCUGUUAUAAUCUCCACCCGGCACAGCCAGAAGAGGACUGGCCACCCCUCAUAGCCUGGUUCCUCUCUAGGUUUCUUCCUAG